UGGGGAAUAUUGGACAAUGGGCGCAAGCCUGAUCCAGCCAUGCCGCGUGAGUGAUGAAGGCCCUAGGGUUGUAAAGCUCUUUCACCGGUGAAGAUAAUGACGGUAACCGGAGAAGAAGCCCCGGCUAACUUCGUGCCAGCAGCCGCGGUAAUACGAAGGGGGCUAGCGUUGUUCGGAUUUACUGGGCGUAAAGCGCACGUAGGCGGACUUUUAAGUCAGGGGUGAAAUCCCGGGGCUCAACCCCGGAACUGCCUUUGAUACUGGAAGUCUUGAGUAUGGUAGAGGUGAGUGGAAUUCCGAGUGUAGAGGUGAAAUUCGUAGAUAUUCGGAGGAGCACCAGUGGCGAAGGCGGCUCACUGGACCAUUACUGACGCUGAGGUGCGAAAGCGUGGGGAGCAAACAGG
rnacentral:rRNA from 1 species